rnacentral:rRNA from 1 species
UGGCGGACGGGUGAGUAAUGUCUGGGAAACUGCCUGAUGGAGGGGGAUAACUACUGGAAACGGUAGCUAAUACCGCAUAACGUCGCAAGACCAAAGAGGGGGACCUUCGGGCCUCUUGCCAUCGGAUGUGCCCAGAUGGGAUUAGCUAGUAGGUGGGGUAAAGGCUCACCUAGGCGACGAUCCCUAGCUGGUCUGAGAGGAUGACCAGCCACACUGGAACUGAGGCACGGUCCAG